rnacentral:rRNA from 1 species
CACAUGCAAGUCGAGGGGUAACGAUGGUGCUUGCACCAGGCGACGACCGGCGGACGGGUGAGUAACACGUAUGCAAUUUGCCUUUAACUGGAGGAUAGGUUCGGGAAACCGUAAUUAAUACUCCAUAGUAUUCAAAAGACGCAUGUUUUGUGAAUUAAAGCUCCGGCGGUUAAAGAUAAGCAUGCGGGACAUUAGCUAGUUGGUAAGGUAACGGCUUACCAAGGCGACGAUGUCUAGGGGGUUUGAGAGGAUGAUCCCCCACACUGGUACUGAGACACGGACCAGACUCCUACGGGAGGCAGCAGUGAGGAAUAUUGGGCAAUGGGCGCAAGCCUGACCCAGCCAUGCCGCGUGCAGGAUGAAGGUCCUAUGGAUCGUAAACUGCUUUUGUAUGGGAAGAACUUCCCGCAUUCGUGCGGGAUUGACGGUACUAUACGAAUAAGGACCGGCUAACUCCGUGCCAGCAGCCGCGGUAAUCCGGAGGGUCCAAGCGUUAUCCGGAUUCACUGGGUUUCAAGGGUGCGUAGGUGGAACGAUAAGUCGAUGGUGAAAGCCUACAGCUUAACUGUAGAAUUGCCAUUGAUACUGUUGUUCUUGAGUAUAGUCGGGGGAAGUGGAAUGCGUAAUGUAGCGGU